UACGAGGGGGGCAAAUGUUGUUCGGAAUUACUGGGCGUAAAGGGCGCGUAGGCGGCCGAUCAAGUCGGGGGUGAAAGCCUGUGGCUCAACCACAGAAUUGCCUUCGAUACUGUUUGGCUUGAGACCGGAAGAGGUAAGUGGAACUGCGAGUGUAGAGGUGAAAUUCGUAGAUAUUCGCAAGAACACCAGUGGCGAAGGCGGCUUACUGGUCCGGUUCUGACGCUGAGGCGCGAAAGCGUGGGGAGCAAACAGG
rnacentral:rRNA from 1 species